CGAGAUAUGCAAGAUCUUUUUUCCAGUUCUACGGAGAGCAGGAAUUUGUUCAGAAAUCGGUUUCGGAAAAAAACCGUUAUCGAUGUAUUUAGCUGUACCUUUAGCUUUAAGUAGAAUUGGAAGUGCAUCUAGAAGAGGUUUACCUAUUCCUGCUCAUUUGCAGCUUCAGAUAGCAUUAAGGUGAAAUAAUAUGCUACUGGCAGUUUCCAUGUAGGUCAAGUGAUAAGUGCUUAAUAGAAUUACGCUUACACGAAAACAACUCUCAUUAUGUAAUAUGCUAUUAUAUUAUGAUGAAUGAUUACAGAACUGUGCGCCUUCUGUCUAGCUGAAUAUACGGUUCUCCUCUGGCGCUCCAUUUGUUUACUCCUGUUCAAAAUUACUGUUUACACUUCAACGGCCUCUUCAAAAUUCGAUUUAUCCGUCAAACUUGUCUUUAUUUAUGAUAAAUGCCAAUGAUACCAACCGGACGAUCAUAAGAAACCUAUGAUCCGUCACUUAACGGCCACUUUUCCAAGUCACUCUCGAGUUGGAACUAUAAAAUGGCUUCUAUCUCAAGUGUCAAAAGUCACUCAAGUCGUUUUCGAUAAGUGUCUCUCAAGUGCCACUUGGCACUUGGACUAUAAAUACGGCCAUCAACUCCAAGUCGCCCUUACACGUCAGCUGAUCUCGAAGUGACGACUAUAAAACGCAUUUCAUGACAUCAUUAUGACAGUCACUUGAGUGUUCAGUGUCACUUGAGAGGCGUCUAUAAAUACGGCCAUAAGUCGGACUUAAAUUUUAAGGUAUACUUAGGUAAGGACGUGCUUAGAAGAAUUUUGGUGCAAGUGGGCAUGAGUGGCGUUCUUGAAUUCGGCCCUUAGUUUUCAUUAGAUUAAUCUGUGAAAAAAUCCGUUCAACAUUGGCUGAUGAGUGAGAAAAUUUUCAUUUCUUCAACAUUUCGCAACAGACGUCAAUCUGUGUCCAGACCUUGUAAUUCACUAUCAUGACUGAGAAGCGCUGCAGAGUGACCCGUGUGAAAAGCCUCUAAAGAAAUUGGAUGUCUUGUUAUACGGAUGGAAUUUGUGUAUUUUUUUUUUAACUUUUAUCACGGUGCUUUGGAAAGUGCUGAAUUCCGCUACAAUCUCGCUGGUUGAAAUCUGUGAAUUCUAGCUUACGAUGGCCAAGAUAUUAACCUCCACAACUUUAUUUAUUAUUAUUAUAUUUUUUUCUUUUCUGGGUUUCAGUCAAAAUGUAAAAUAAAAAUGUUCAUAUA